rnacentral:rRNA from 1 species
CUUAUGCGUUGUUGGGUAGGGGAGCGUUCUGUAAGCCUGCGAAGGUGUGCUGUGAGGCAUGCUGGAGGUAUCAGAAGUGCGAAUGCUGACAUAAGUAACGAUAAAGCGGGUGAAAAGCCCGCUCGCCGGAAGACCAAGGGUUCCUGUCCAACGUUAAUCGGGGCAGGGUGAGUCGACCCCUAAGGCGAGGCCGAAAGGCGUAGUCGAUGGGAAACAGGUUAAUAUUCCUGUACUUGGUGUUACUGCGAAGGGGGGACGGAGAAGGCUAUGUUGGCCGGGCGACGGUUGUCCCGGUUUAAGCGUGUAGGCUGGUUUUCCAGGCAAAUCCGGAAAAUCAAGGCUGAGGCGUGAUGACGAGGCACUACGGUGCUGAAGCAACAAAUGCCCUGCUUCCAGGAAAAGCCUCUAAGCAUCAGGUAACAUCAAAUCGUACCCCAAACCGACACAGGUGGUCAGGUAGAGAAUACCAAGGCGCUUGAGAGAACUCGGGUGAAGGAACUAGGCAAAAUGGUGCCGUAACUUCGGGAGAAGGCACGCUGAUAUGUAGGUGAAGUCCCUCGCGGAUGGAGCUGAAAUCAGUCGAAGAUACCAGCUGGCUGCAACUGUUUAUUAAAAACACAGCACUGUGCAAACACGAAAGUGGACGUAUACGGUGUGACGCCUGCCCGGUGCCGGAAGGUUAAUUGAUGGGGUCAGCGCAAGCGAAGCUCUUGAUCGAAGCCCCGGUAAACGGCGGCCGUAACUAUAACGGUCCUAAGGUAGCGAAAUUCCUUGUCGGGUAAGUUCCGACCUGCACGAAUGGCGUAAUGAUGGCCAGGCUGUCUCCACCCGAGACUCAGUGAAAUUGAACUCGCUGUGAAGAUGCAGUGUACCCGCGGCAAGACGGAAAGACCCCGUGAACCUUUACUAUAGCUUGACACUGAACAUUGAGCCUUGAUGUGUAGGAUAGGUGGGAGGCUUUGAAGUGUGGACGCCAGUCUGCAUGGAGCCGACCUUGAAAUACCACCCUUUAAUGUUUGAUGUUCUAACGUUGACCCGUGAUCCGGGUUGCGGACAGUGUCUGGUGGGUAGUUUGACUGGGGCGGUCUCCUCCUAAAGAGUAACGGAGGAGCACGAAGGUUGGCUAAUCCUGGUCGGACAUCAGGAGGUUAGUGCAAUGGCAUAAGCCAGCUUGACUGCGAGCGUGACGGCGCGAGCAGGUGCGAAAGCAGGUCAUAGUGAUCCGGUGGUUCUGAAUGGAAGGGCCAUCGCUCAACGGAUAAAAGGUACUCCGGGGAUAACAGGCUGAUACCGCCCAAGAGUUCAUAUCGACGGCGGUGUUUGGCACCUCGAUGUCGGCUCAUCACAUCCUGGGGCUGAAGUAGGUCCCAAGGGUAUGGCUGUUCGCCAUUUAAAGUGGUACGCGAGCUGGGUUUAGAACGUCGUGAGACAGUUCGGUCCCUAUCUGCCGUGGGCGCUGGAGAACUGAGGGGGGCUGCUCCUAGUACGAGAGGACCGGAGUGGACGCAUCACUGGUGUUCGGGUUGUCAUGCCAAUGGCACUGCCCGGUAGCUAAAUGCGGAAGAGAUAAGUGCUGAAAGCAUCUAAGCACGAAACUUGCCCCGAGAUGAGUUCUCCCUGACUCCUUGAGAGUCCUGAAGGAACGUUGAAG